UGAAAUCGAGUCUCUUCCGUCUCC
rnacentral:siRNA from 1 species